CCUGCAAAUCCAUUGAGAUUUUCUCACAUUCAUCAUAUACCAAAUUUCUUCUUCUUCUUCUUCUCAGUUCUCAAUCUCAUUCAAUUCUUCCUUUCUCUCUCUCUCUUCACCUCUUCCUCCAUCAUUAAUUAAGCUUUAAUGAAAAAGGUCAUCCCUCUUCCACCCCUCCUUGUAUAUAAUGCUCUUCCAACUUAUUCAAAUCCACCACCGCUCAACCUCAACAAAAAUACCUCUUCCUCUUCAAGCAAACUUCAUCACCAUAUCCAUCUCGCCUGUCCAUAAAAGGUCAGCAAAGACAGCAAAGUUCAUAUAAGUAGAAUUCGAGCUAAUUCAAGAGCUAAUGAUUGUUUGUUUUUGCUGCAGGAUGAACAGAAGGAACAUCAACCGCAACCGCAACAGAAACACCAUUAACAACAUUCCAGAACUGGACUUGAAGCUAAGCCUCUCACCAAGCAGGGGAAUGGAGUCGCCUAGCCGGUCAUCG
rnacentral:lncRNA from 1 species